rnacentral:rRNA from 1 species
GUGGGGAAUAUUGCACAAUGGGCGCAAGCCUGAUGCAGCGACGCCGCGUGAGGGAUGACGGCCUUCGGGUUGUAAACCUCUGUUAGCAUCGAAGAAGCGAAAGUGACGGUAGGUGCAGAGAAAGCGCCGGCUAACUACGUGCCAGCAGCCGCGGUAAUACGUAGGGCGCGAGCGUUGUCCGGAAUUAUUGGGCGUAAAGAGCUUGUAGGCGGUUGGUCGCGUCUGCUGUGAAAGGCCGGGGCUUAACUCCGGUUUUGCAGUGGGUACGGGCUAACUAGAGUGCAGUAGGGGAGACUGGAAUUCCUGGUGUAGCGGUGGAAUGCACAGAUAUCAGGAGGAACACCGAUGGCGAAGGCAGGUCUCUGGGCUGUAACUGACGCUGAGAAGCGAAAGCAUGGGGAGCGA